UAGCAAUAGAGAUAGUGGCGCACGGGUGCGUAACGCGUAACCAACCUACUCGAAUCUGGGGGAUAGCCCGCCGAAAGGCGGAUUAAUACCGCAUAAAACGGCAGACCGGCAUCGGUUCACCGUUAAAGAUUUAUUGGAUUCGGAUGGGGUUGCGUGCCAUUAGCUAGUUGGCGGGGUAACGGCCCACCAAGGCGACGAUGGCUAGGGGAGCUGAGAGGCUGGUCCCCCACACGGGCACUGAGAUACGGGCCCGACUCCUACGGGAGGCAGCAGUAGGGAAUGUUGGGCAAUGGUCGAGAGACUGACCCAGCCAUGCCGCGUGCAGGAUGAAGGCUUUCUGAGUCGUAAACUGCUUUUACCCGGGAAGAAAAAAGGGGAUGCGUCCUCUACUGACGGUACCUGGUGAAUAAGCACCGGCUAACUCCGUGCCAGCAGCCGCGGUAAUACGGAGGGUGCAAGCGUUGUCCGGAUUUAUUGGGUUUAAAGGGUGCGUAGGCGGCUUUUUAAGUCCGGGGUGAAAGCCCGUUGCUCAACAACGGAACUGCCCCGGAAACUGGAGAGCUUGAGUACAGACGAGGGUGGCGGAAUGGACGGUGUAGCGGUGAAAUGCAUAGAUACCGUCCAGAACCCCGAUUGCGAAGGCAGCUGCCUAGACUGUAACU
rnacentral:rRNA from 1 species